UACGUAGGGUGCGAGCGUUGUCCGGAAUUAUUGGGCGUAAAGGGCUCGUAGGCGGUUUGUCGCGUCGGGAGUGAAAACCCAGGGCUUAACCCUGGGCUGGCUUUCGAUACGGGCAGACUAGAGGUAUGCAGGGGAGAACGGAAUUCCUGGUGUAGCGGUGAAAUGCGCAGAUAUCAGGAGGAACACCGGUGGCGAAGGCGGUUCUCUGGACAGUUCCUGACGCUGAGGCACGAAGGUCGGGGGAGCAAACGGG
rnacentral:rRNA from 1 species